AUGAACGCUGGCGGCGUGCCUCAUCCAUGCAAGUCGAGCGAACAGACGAGGAGCUUGCUCCUCUGACGUUAGCGGCGGACGGGUGAGUAACACGUGGAUAACCUACCUAUAAGACUGGGAUAACUUCGGGAAACCGGAGCUAAUACCGGAUAAUAUAUUGAACCGCAUGGUUCAAUAGUGAAAGACGGUUUUGCUGUCACUUAUAGAUGGAUCCGCGCCGCAUUAGCUAGUUGGUAAGGUAACGGCUUACCAAGGCAACGAUGCGUAGCCGACCUGAGAGGGUGAUCGGCCACACUGGAACUGAGACACGGUCCAGACUCCUACGGGAGGCAGCAGUAGGGAAUCUUCCGCAAUGGGCGAAAGCCUGACGGAGCAACGCCGCGUGAGUGAUGAAGGUCUUCGGAUCGUAAAACUCUGUUAUUAGGGAAGAACAAAUGUGUAAGUAACUAUGCACGUCUUGACGGCACCUAAUCAGAAAGCCACGGCUAACUACGUG
rnacentral:rRNA from 1 species